AUCUGUCAAAUCAAUAAAGUGUUGACAACAUUUCUGAGUGAGGAGAAAAUGCAAGCAACAUAACUAGUGAAGCAGCAUCAUAAUUUUCCUCUAAUUAUACGUACAUACGUAUCUAUAAUAAUGUUAUUUAGAAACUAAUACGAGCCAGUUCGGUGCAUGCUGUAGUGGAUCAUGGAGCGAGACAGGCAGACCAGGACACCGAUAAGGUAUCCGCGAAUUAAUUCGUCCGGUCAUGCAGAGAGAAUGACACACCAAAAAACAUCGAUUUACUACAAAGAAAAUAUGCUGUGACGAGAAACGCUGGCAACUGGAGGAACAGUAAUGCUGGUGCCAAUACCAUCUAAAAAAAUAGGAGUAGUGAAGUAAGUGAAAAUUAGUGAAAAAGCUGGCUGGCAUUAGAAAUAACUCAGCGAACUGAAAUGGAAUCAGGUGAAUAAAGUACAUUUUCUACCUUUUA